GACGACGCUGCGGCGUGCUUAACACAUGCAAGUCGAGCGGUAAGGCCCUUUCGGGGGUACACGAGCGGCGAACGGGUGAGUAACACGUGGGUGACCUGCCCUCAGCUCUGGGAUAAGCCUGGGAAACCGGGUCUAAUACCGGAUAUGACUCCAUGACGCAUGUUGUGGGGUGGAAAGCCUUGUGCGGCUGAGGAUGGGCCCGCGGCCUAUCAGCUUGUUGGUGGGGUGAUGGCCUACCAAGGCGACGACGGGUAGCCGGCCUGAGAGGGCGACCGGCCACACUGGGACUGAGACACGGCCCAGACUUCUACGGGAGGCAGCAGUGGGGAAUCUUGCGCAAUGGGCGAAAGCCUGACGCAGCGACGCCGCGUGAGGGAUGACGGCCUGG
rnacentral:rRNA from 1 species